CCCAAACUUCAGUGGAGCGCAUGCAAGAAAAUGUCACAGGAGGGUAGCACAGGAUUUCAGAGCAGAAAGAAAGUUUGGGGAAUAACAACUACAUAGCCAAGCAACCAAGAAAACCUUUUAGCAAGGAAAAUUCUGCAUUUGUCUUCACUUCUGGAGCAUCAGAGUAAGUACUGGACAGAAUUGGUGUUUCCCAUCCAAACCUGCUGCUUUGGGUCAACAUUUGAUAUAUGUCUUCAAAAGGGCAAGAAACAACUUCAUGUUUUAUAAAACUCUACAACUCUUAGAAGCUAUCCACACACUCAGAGAGCGAAGAAGAGUUUUUGAGGACAAAAGAGACAGGAACUCACACAUAUGUGUUCCCAAAUCAAAGGGAAAUCUGAUGUAUAGAAGACCAUCCAAGAGAGCAGCAGAUUUCUGAAUUUGAUGGAGCAGUUCAGUAGUGAUGAGAAAAACGGGAACCUGGGGAGAUACUGAAGGAUCAUGGAUUAUCAGAAGACACCUGAUCUGCAGUGCUGGAGAGAUGAGAGAUUCAUUAACCAUGUUAUAAGCUGGAGGAGAGAAAAUGUUGUCAAGUAGUGUUUGCAUGAUUUUCAGUGGCAUUAAUUCAUCCCUUGAAUAUGCUUUCUUUUUUAAGAAAUGAUGAAUUCCACUAAAGGUGAAAUGAAAGAAAUCAGUCCAAUUCAGAGAAGGCCCACUCUAGCUCUGUAUACCAAACAGAAAAUUCCAAAAUAACCUCAGCUGUAUGGUAGUAUGGAUGUUGCAGGCCAAAAGAUUUGAUUAUUGGGUUUCCAUAUAUUAGAAGAAAACACAUUUUCAAAACGUGUUAGCAUUGCACACUAUGCAUCCAGUAUAUGAGCCCAUGAAUCUUCCAUCUUGAUUGCACAAUAAUAGACGGGAUAGUAUCCAUUCCUGGUAAUACACUCACAGUCACAGGACAAGGAUUUGCUCAGCUCAGGGAACCCAUCUGGUCAAACUUAAUUGUUACUACAGCAGUAUGUUUAAUUUUGACAGCCCUGGGUGAUAUGAAAGAAUUAAUUUCAUUGUAAACCUCAAUGACCACUUCAUUAGUGGUAGAUAUUCCCACCUCUACUUGAUAAGCGACUGACUUCUAGCUGCAAAUAGCAACAGACAGCAACACUCUUUUGGAUAAUAAAUAGCAACAAACAGCACUUGAAAUUUCUCA
rnacentral:lncRNA from 1 species